rnacentral:rRNA from 1 species
AGUAAAAGUCGUAACAAGGUUUCCGUAGGUGAACCUGCGGAAGGAUCAUUACCGAGUGAGGGCCCUCUGGGUCCAACCUCCCACCCGUGUUUAUUUUACCUUGUUGCUUCGGCGGGCCCGCCUUUACUGGCCGCCGGGGGGCUCACGCCCCCGGGCCCGCGCCCGCCGAAGACACCCUCGAACUCUGUCUGAAGAUUGAAGUCUGAGUGAAAAUAUAAAUUAUUUAAAACUUUCAACAACGGAUCUCUUGGUUCCGGCAUCGAUGAAGAACGCAGCGAAAUGCGAUACGUAAUGUGAAUUGCAAAUUCAGUGAAUCAUCGAGUCUUUGAACGCACAUUGCGCCCCCUGGUAUUCCGGGGGGCAUGCCUGUCCGAGCGUCAUUGCUGCCCUCAAGCCCGGCUUGUGUGUUGGGCCCCGUCCUCCGAUUCCGGGGGACGGGCCCGAAAGGCAGCGGCGGCACCGCGUCCGGUCCUCGAGCGUAUGGGGCUUUGUCACCCGCUCUGUAGGCCCGGCCGGCGCUUGCCGAUCAACCCAAAUUUUUAUCCAGGUUGACCUCGGAUCAGGUAGGGAUACCCGCUGAACUUAAGCAUAUCAAUAAGCGGAGGAAAAGAAACCAACAGGGAUUGCCUCAGUAACG